GGAGCCAGCACCCAGGCCUGUCUGAGCAGCCCUGGGGAGUUAAGCUGGUGCCAAAGUCUCAUCACACAGAAGAGCAGUGAUUUCCAGGUGGACAGAGGAGAGGAGGACCUCACUGGCAGAGAAUCACCACACCUUUGUUCAUGAUGAGCUGUAAGAACACGGCUGUCCUUGUGGGUCCUGACACUGAUUUCCAAAUUCGCUGCCGGCUGCUAGAGCUCCCUGACUAUCACGCCUCAGAGCCCAGUUCUUGGAGGACAGACACAGCGCUGACCCACUGUUUCAGUCUCCACAGCACCUAAUGAGGUUAUUCCCAUCGUAUGGAAUGGAAAAACUGAACUCCAGAGACGCAAGUGAAACUAGGAAGAAGCAAGGAGCAGGGAGCAGCAUCGCUGGAAUCUUUGACCUGUCCGGUCCUGCUUCAUACAUGUAGUCAAUCAGUUCCAUAAGAAGCACAGGUCUGCCUUCAUCUGCCCUCUUGGCUAAAGGAACUGGAAUAUUUUUUUAUUCUGAAUUCGAAGAAUUCAAUAAGAAAAAUAAUAACUGUUUACAUAACUUUAAGUUCUCUUAUGACUUUGUUAGCAUGAAGUAGCACUUCUCCAUGUUAUGUGAAAAUUUGAGCUGUUUGGAUUUCCUCAUAUCAUUCAUACACGUAUUUGUAUUUUUUGGACCAUUAUUUCUGUCAGGAUGGGCUAACGUAUGCUGCAUUAAUGAACAAUUCCCAAAUCUCAGUGGCUUAACACAACAAGGACAUAUUUGUCCCUCAUGCUGCAUAUUUAAAGUUGGCCUGUGUAUGACAGUCACUCAGGGGCCCAGCCAGAGGGACAUAUGCUCCCACAACUGCCAAGGCACAAGAUAAGUGGUGUACUAGCUCUUUAAACUUCCAGCAGGGGCAGCCUAGGUGGCUUAGCGGUUGAAUGUCUACCUUCAGCUCAAGGCGUGAUCCUGGAGACCCGGGAUUGAGGCCCACAUCAGGCUCCCUGCAUGGAGCCUGCUUCUCCCUCUGCCUGUGU